rnacentral:rRNA from 1 species
UACGGGGGGGGCAAGCGUUUGUUCGGAAUUACUGGGCGUAAAGCGCGUGUAGGCGGCCAUCUAAGUCGGGCGUGAAAUCCCACGGCUCAACCGUGGAAGUGCACUCGAAAACUGGAUGGCUAGAGUCCUGGAGAGGAAGGUGGAAUGCUUGGUGUAGAGGUGAAAUUCGGUAGAUAUCAAGCGGAACACCGGUGGCGAAGG